rfam:Salmo salar isolate Sally breed double haploid chromosome ssa08, whole genome shotgun sequence.
UGCAUUCACUACGGUAAGUCGCUCUGGAUAAGAGCGUCUGCUAAAUGACUAAAA